AAACUGAAGAGUUUGAUCAUGGCUCAGAUUGAACGCUGGCGGUAUGCUUAACACAUGCAAGUCGAACGGUAACAGGCCUUCGGGCGCUGACGAGUGGCGGACGGGUGAGUAACGCGUAGGAAUCUGCCUCAUAGUGGGGGACAACGUGGGGAAACUCACGCUAAUACCGCAUACGCCCUACGGGGGAAAGCGGGGGAUCUUCGGACCUCGCGCUAUGAGAUGAGCCUGCGUUAGAUUAGCUAGUUGGUGGGGUAAAGGCCUACCAAGGCGACGAUCUAUAGCUGGUCUGAGAGGACGAUCAGCCACACUGGGACUGAGACACGGCCCAGACUCCUACGGGAGGCAGCAGUGGGGAAUAUUGGACAAUGGGCGAAAGCCUGAUCCAGCAAUACCGCGUGUGUGAAGAAGGCCUUAGGGU
rnacentral:rRNA from 1 species